rnacentral:rRNA from 1 species
CAGUCGCCGCGGGAAUACGAAGGGGGCUAGCGUUGUUCGGAAUUACUGGGCGUAAAGCGCGCGUAGGCGGAUAUUUAAGUCAGGGGUGAAAUCCCGCAGCUCAACUGCGGAACUGCCUUUGAUACUGGGUAUCUUGAGUAUGGAAGAGGUUAGUGGAAUUGCGAGUGUAGAGGUGAAAUUCGUAGAUAUUCGCAGGAACACCAGUGGCGAAGGCGGCUAACUGGUCCAUAACUGACGCUGAGGUGCGAAAGCGUGGGGAGCAAACAGGAUUAGAUACCCCUGUAGUCCCUGUCUCUUAUAC